AAUAGAACCCGGUAGUCCACGCCGUAAACGAUGAAUACUAGGUGUAGGAGGUAUCGACCCCUUCUGUGCCGCAGUUAACACAAUAAGUAUUCCGCCUGGGGAGUACGAUCGCAAGAUUAAAACUCAAAGGAAUUGACGGGGGCCCGCACAAGCAGCGGAGCAUGUGGUUUAAUUCGAAGCAACGCGAAGAACCUUACCUAGACUUGACAUCUCCUGAAUUACCCUUAACCGGGGAAGCCCUUCGGGGCAGGAAGACAGGUGGUGCAUGGUUGUCGUCAGCUCGUGUCGUGAGAUGUUGGGUUAAGUCCCGCAACGAGCGCAACCCUUAUCAUUAGUUGCUACCAUUAAGUUGAGCACUCUAGUGAGACUGCCACGGUUAACGUGGAGGAAGGUGGGGAUGACGUCAAAUCAUCAUGCCCCUUAUGUCUAGGGCUACACACGUGCUACAAUGGUGAGUACAAAGAGAUGCAAUACCGUGAGGUGGAGCCAAACUCAAAAACUCAUCCCAGUUCGGAUUGCAGGCUGAAACUCGCCUAC
rnacentral:rRNA from 1 species